AUUGAACGCUGGCGGCAGGCCUAACACAUGCAAGUCGAACGGUAACAGGAAGAAGCUUGCUUCUUUGCUGACGAGUGGCGGACGGGUGAGUAAUGUCUGGGAAACUGCCUGAUGGAGGGGGAUAACUACUGGAAACGGUAGCUAAUACCGCAUAACGUCGCAAGACCAAAGAGGGGGACCUUCGGGCCUCUUGCCAUCGGAUGUGCCCAGAUGGGAUUAGCUAGUAGGUGGGGUAACGGCUACCUAGGCGACGAUCCCUAGCUGGUCUGAGAGGAUGACCAGCCACACUGGAACUGAGACACGGUCCAGACUCCUACGGGAGGCAGCAGUGGGGAAUAUUGCACAAUGGGCGCAAGCCUGAUGCAGCCAUGCCGCGUGUAUGAAGAAGGCCUUCGGGUUGUAAAGUACUUUCAGCGGGGAGGAAGGGAGUAAAGUUAAUACCUUUGCUCAUUGACGUUACCCGCAGAAGAAGCACCGGCUAACUCCGUG
rnacentral:rRNA from 1 species